GACGAACGCUGGCGGCGCGCUUAACACAUGCAAGUCGAACGGAAAGGCCUGCUUUCCCUUUGGUAUUGCGGGUACUCGCGUGGCGAACGGGUGAGUAACACGUGAUUGAUCUGCCCCCAACUUGGGUAUAAGCCUGGGAAACUGGUUCUAAUUCCCGAUAGGACUGCAGGGUGGUGCCUGUGGUGGAAAACGAUUUUCUAGUGGGUGGGGAUGAGCUCGCGGCCUAUCAGCUUGUGGGUGGGGUAAUGGCCUACCAAGGUGGCGACGGGUAGCCGGACUGAGAGCGUGGACGGUGAAAUUGGGACUGGGAUACGGCCCCGACGCCAGCGGGCGGCAGGAGUGGGGGCUAAUGGGGAGCGAGCGGAAGGCUGAUGCGGCGAGGGCGUGUAGGAGAUGUCGGGCUUGGGGAUGUCAACUCGUGUGGAGGGAGAGGAAGAAACCUGGUUGGAAGGGUGGUGACGGUAGUGGCAGAAGAAGCACCGGCUAACUACGUG
rnacentral:rRNA from 1 species